AUUGAACGCUGGCGGCAUGCUUUACACAUGCAAGUCGAACGGUAACAGGUUAAGCUGACGAGUGGCGAACGGGUGAGUAAUGCAUCGGAACGUGCCCGGUCGUGGGGGAUAACACUUCGAAAGAAGUGCUAAUACCGCAUACGAUCUGAGGAUGAAAGCGGGGGACCGUAAGGCCUCGCGCGAUCGGAGCGGCCGAUGUCAGAUUAGGUAGUUGGUGGGGUAAAGGCCUACCAAGCAGACGAUCUGUAGCUGGUCUGAGAGGACGACCAGCCAAACUGAGACUGAGACACGGCCCAGACUCCUACGGGAGGCAGCAGUGGGGAAUUUUGGACAAUGGGCGCAAGCCUGAUCCAGCAAUGCCGCGUGCAGGAAGAAGGCCUUCGGGUUGUAAACUGCUUUUGUACGGAGCGAAAAGGCUCUCUCUAAUACAGGGGGCUGAUGACGGUACCGUAAGAAUAAGCACCGGCUAACUACGUGCCAGCCGCCGCCGUAAUAC
rnacentral:rRNA from 1 species